rnacentral:rRNA from 1 species
GACGAACGCUGGCGGCGUGCCUAAUACAUGCAAGUAGAACGCUGAAGGAGGAGCUUGCUUCUCUGGAUGAGUUGCGAACGGGUGAGUAACGCGUAGGUAACCUGCCUGGUAGCGGGGGAUAACUAUUGGAAACGAUAGCUAAUACCGCAUAAUAGUAGAUGUUGCAUGACAUUUGCUUAAAAGGUGCAAUUGCAUCACUACCAGAUGGACCUGCGUUGUAUUAGCUAGUUGGUGAGGUAACGGCUCACCAAGGCGACGAUACAUAGCCGACCUGAGAGGGUGAUCGGCCACACUGGGACUGAGACACGGCCCAGACUCCUGCGGGAGGCAGCAGUAGGGAAUCUUCGGCAAUGGGCGGAAGUCUGACCGAGCAACGCCGCGUGAGUGAAGAAGGUUUUCGGAUCGUAAAGCUCGGUUGUAAGGGAAGAACGAGUGUGAGAGUGGAAAGUUCACACUGUGACGGUAGCUUACCAGAAAGGGACGGCUAACUACGUG